rnacentral:rRNA from 1 species
UACGGGGGGGGUAGGCGUUGUUCGGAAUUACUGGGCGUAAAGCGUGCGCAGGCGGCUUCGCAAGUCAGACGUGAAAUCCCCGGGCUUAACCUGGGAAUGGCGUUUGAAACUACGGAGCUGGAGUGUGGCAGAGGGAGGUAGAAUUCCACGUGUAGCGGUGAAAUGCGUAGAUAUGUGGAGGAAUACCGAUGGCGAAGGCAGCCUCCUGGGCCAACACUGACGCUCAUGCACGAAAGCGUGGGGAGCAAACAGG